rnacentral:rRNA from 1 species
GAUGAACGCUGGCGGCGUGCCUAAUACAUGCAAGUCGAGCGAACGGACGAUAAGCUUGCUUCUCUGAUGUUAGCGGCGGACGGGUGAGUAACACGUGGAUAACCUACCUAUAAGUCUGGGAUAACUUCGGGAAACCGGAGCUAAUACCGGAUGAUAUUUUGAACCGCAUGGUUCAAAAGUGAAAGACGGUCUUGCUGUCUCUUAUAGAUGGAUCCGCGCUGCAUUAGCUAGUUGGUAAGGUAACGGCUUACCAAGGCAACGAUGCAUAGCCGACCGGAGAGGGUGAUCGGCCACACUGGAACUGAGACACGGUCCAGACUCCUACGGGAGGCAGCAGUAGGGAAUCUUCCGCAAUGGGCGAAAGCCUGACGGAGCAACGCCGCGUGAGUGAUGAAGGUCUUCGGAUCGUAAAACUCUGUUAUUAGGGAAGAACAUAUGUGUAAGUAACUGUGCACAUCUUGACGGUACCUAAUCAGAAAGCCACGGCUAACUACGUG